rnacentral:tRNA from 1 species
GCCGGAAUGCGUGGAACUGGUAGACAGGCCUGAUUCAAAACCAGGUGCCCUUCGAGGCGUGGGGGUUCGAGUCCCCCUUCCGGCA